UCCCUUGUGGCUCAGCUGGUAAAGAAUCUGCCUGCAAUGCAGGAUGCCUAGGUUCGAUCCCUGGGUUGGAGAA
rnacentral:tRNA from 1 species